rnacentral:ribozyme from 1 species
UGGAAGAGAGAGAGAGGAAGGUGAAAGAGAGAGAGAGAAAGAGAGAGAAGCCCAGUGAGAAAACAUACUAGCAAGUGAAGACGGUUCAUUUUUCUCUCUCUCUUUCUCUCUUUCUCUCUCCUU